rnacentral:rRNA from 1 species
CCUACGGGAGGCAGCAGUGAGGAAUAUUGGUCAAUGGGCGGGAGCCUGAACCAGCCAAGUCGCGUGAAGGAAGACGGUCCUACGGAUUGUAAACCUCUUUUGCCGGGGAGCAACGGGGUCCUUGCGAGGGCCCAAUGAGGGUACCCGGGAAAAAGGCAUCGCCUACCUCCGUGCCAGCAGCCGCGGUAAUACGGGGGUUGCGAGCUUUAUCGGGUUUUAUUGGGUUAAAAGGGGGCGUGGGCGGUCGGUUAGGUCAGCGGUAAAAUGUCGGGGCUCAACCCCGGACUGCCGUUGAAACUGGCGGCCUAGAGUGGGGGAGAGGUAUGCGGAAUGCGUGGUGUAGCGGUGAAAUGCAUAGAUAUCACGCAGAACUCCGAUUGCGAAGGCAGCAUACCGGCGCCCUACUGACGCUGAGGCACGAAAGCGUGGGUAUCGAACAGGAUUAGAUACCCCUGUAGUC